rnacentral:lncRNA from 1 species
CAGAGAGCAAGAGGAAGUGAGCAAGGGAGGUCAUUCGCAAUUCUGUCACUCCUAAAUUUGUCUGAACCUUUUUGGAAGGCAUUUGUAUUUCCUGCCAGCACCACCUCUUGGGGGUGAUGAAUUCCAAUAAGUUUCAAUCCGUUUAUUACUCACUGUGAGAGAAAUUGCUUCCUUUUAUGUCUGGAACUAAACCUGGAUCACAUUUCACAGGAUAUCCCCUAGUCACAGAGUUUUGGAAUCUGACCUGGAGGCAAAGGUAUGGAUGAGAUCACAUAGCAAGGAGAUUGCUGCUGAGAAGGAGUCAAAGCCUGGGUUUUACUUGUGGCCUUGCUGCUACACCAACUUUACUGACAUGCCAUUCUGGGAUAGUCUUUUCUCUCUGAGGCUUCAAGAGAAGAUGAGAAUACAUUCCAUCCCUACCUCUUGGAGUCAUUGUGAGGACUCAGAUGAAGUGCAGCAUCACGCAACAGAACUCAGAUGCCCUCACUGCAUCUCAAAUGCACUCAGAGAAAGCAUGGAGACACAUGCUGUUUCGGCACUUUCCCCAAGAUCAGAGAGUUAUAGGAGCUGGAGCUGGAUAGAAGCCUGGUGUACACCUCUCUGACUAUUGCUUCACUGGGCCACCUGGCAUCCUGUGGAGGGGCUUCUGAGCACCUGUAAUCUGAUGGAGAGCAUGGCAGAGGCAGCUGGAUGCUAGACACUGAGGAGACACCUGAGUCUGACAAGUGGAAAGAGAUGUGUGUGGGGAAAGGAGAUCAGGCAAAGGCUCCGCAGUAGGAAGGCCAGAGUGGCCCCUGAGACCACAGGAAGAAAAGGGAAGCAAUGCUGGACAGCCGGCCAGCUCCUGGGCUGUGGGGCCAGCAGCCAUUAGAGACAGUCAGAGUAGAGGACCCUUAGACCCCACCAGACCCUGCAGAGGAUGAAACAGAAGGAUGCAAAGAGAUUUGUCCUCUUAAGAGAGGAAACAAAUACAAAUCACAAUGAAAUGCCACUUUCCUGCAUCGGAUUAACGAAUACUCGAAAGCUUAAUACUACUUAGUGUUGGCCAGGACUUUCCUUUUGCACAAUUUUGAUGGGCGAGUCAAUUGGGAAAGUGUUUGUGAGUGCAGUUUGGCAAUAUGUGUGUAUCUACAUUUUAAAUGCACAUACUUUUUGGUCCAGAAAAAGUCCCCUGAGGAUACACAUAUACCUGCAGGAUAAAUGCACACAUACAUAUAUUUAGGGUUGGCAUUUUUACAAACAGAAAAUUAAAAAUGAUCUUCAUCAGUAGGUUAAGCAAAUAAAUUAUGAUAAUACAAACUAGGGAAUACUGUGGCUUCGUAUUACUCUUAAAAUAAAACCCCAAGCCCUUUCCCAUGGCCUAUAAGGCCUGGGAUGAUUUGGUCCCUUCCCCGUUCUCACCCUAAUUUUCCACUGCUCUUUCUCUCCUCCUGCUCCAGUUCCUAGAGGCUAUAGCUGUUCCACAGACCAAGGCAGUUCCACCCUUAGGGCCUUUGCUCCUGCAGUUUCUCCUUCUUGGAAGGUUUUCUCCCCCAGAUAUUAAUACGACUGUCUCCUCACUCUAUUUAUACCUCUGUUCAAAUAUCAACAUGUGGUGAACAGCUUCGAAAAUGACCCUUAACGACCUGCCCUCCUGGUAUGGAUUCCCUCCCUUCUAGUGUGAGCUGGACCUAGUGACUUACUAAUAAUGAAUAGAAUAUUUUAAAAGGGGGGAUUUCACUUCUGAGAUCUUAUAACAGAAUACCAUGACUUCAUCUUGCAUGCUCUUUCUCUCUCCCUCUGUCUUCCUCUCCCUGUCAUUCUUGCUUGUGAGUAAGCAGGCUGCCAUGCUGUGAGCUGCCCUAUGGAGAAGUCCACAUGGCAAGGAACUGAGGGAUACCUUCAGCCAACAGCCAAUGAGGAACUGAUGCUCCCAGAGAACAGCCUGUAGGAAACUAAUUCCUGCUAACAACCUUCAGAUGACUGCAGGUCUGGCUGGCAACUCAACUGAAGCCUGAGAGAGAUCCUGAAGCAGCGGGUGCAGCUAAGCCUCUGCUGGAUUCCCAUUAGACAGAAACUAAUGUAAAGUUUUAUGAGGACAAAACUCUUGCUUAUCAUUGUGUUCCCUCGUGCCUAGAAGAGUGCCUGACAUUAAGUGGGUGCUCACGUUUGCAUCACCAGUUUUCCAUGAGAGCACCAAGCCUGUGAUUUCAGUAGAAGCUUAACUGCUCGUCUUUGAGGCACCAAAUCUGAAAAGCGAUCUUCCUGAAGACCAUGCUAAGGCAAGAACAUCCAUAUAAGGGAGAAUUCCUGAAAGUGUUCUAACACUUCAGUGGAAACUCAUCAAUGCUCUGUACCCAGAAUAAUCCCAUUUCGGAGGGUGCAUGGAUGGGGCAGAUGCAUGAUGUGCCCUGAGGAGCAGAGGAAACAUGGGCUUGGGUUGUGAAGGAUCUCAGAGAAGCUCUCCUGGACUGGCCCAAAUGUCUCAAACUUUAAUGUGCACAUAAAUCUAUUAAAAUGCAGCUUCCACUUCAACACAUCUGGAGUGAGACCAGGUAUUCUGCAUUUUUAACAAACUCUGGUGUAUGCUGGCGGAUGUCUGGAGUGCUGCUGGUCCAUGGACCGCAUGUUGAGUAGCAAGGCCCU